UGCACAAUAAAAUAACUAUACAUAAUAACCAUCAUGCUCAUAGUUUAGUAGAGAACAACUUAUAUAGAUGAAAUUUAUUAUAGAAUAUGCAAGAUAUAAAUAAAUGGGCAGUGUUUUAAGUUAAGAUGGAUCAAAUUUAGAAAAUAUUUUCCUAAUUAAAUAUUUAUAUUUUAUUAUUCUGAAAUAGUAGCAGCAACUUGACAACCUUAAUAUUUUGCCAACAUGAGGAAACUCCACCAACUGAUUAAGUUUUCUUGUUGGGUUUAAAGACAUACUUAAUGAGUGAGUCUUUAAUGGACAAUAACUCAGGAAACUCUUUCUUCAACUUAGAUGCAUCCAAUUGAUUGUUGCAGCGGGAGGCAACAAUAACUUUGGCUUGUUCUUCCACUGUGAAAUUAACCCACUUGAAAUUGGGAUCCACAUAAGUCUUAUACAUCUCCAAAAUCUCAUUGUGACUCACCACGCCUGGGUUUGUGAAGUUCCAUAUUCCUGUCAGGUUCCUCUUCGCCAUCUCAAUUGAAAUUGGAAUGAGUUCGUCCAAGACACUCAUGCUGUUUGGAAUGUUAACAACUCUUUUGUAUGUUCUAAUCUUAAAAAUGAAGUUGCGAGGAUUGUCCAGAUCUGAUGAUAUUGGCAUUCUA
rnacentral:misc_RNA from 1 species